GACGAGGGGUCCAAGCGUUGUUCGGAAUUAUUGGCGUAAAGCGGGUGUGAGGUGGCUCUGUAAGUCAAGAAGUGAAAGCCCCGAGCUUAAACUUGGGAAGUGCUUUGAUACUGCAGAGCUUGAGUGUGGGAGAGGAUCGUGGAAUUCCAGGUGUAGUGGUGAAAUACGUAGAUAUCUGGAGGAACACCGGUGGCGAAGGCGGCGAAGUCUGGCCCAACACUGACACUGAGACCCGAAAGCGUGGGAUCAAACAGGAGUUAGGAA
rnacentral:rRNA from 1 species